rnacentral:rRNA from 1 species
AACGAACGCUGGCGGCAGGCUUAACACAUGCAAGUCGAACGCUCCGCAAGGAGAGUGGCAGACGGGUGAGUAACGCGUGGGAACGUGCCCUUUGGUUCGGAACAACUUCGGGAAACUGGAGCUAAUACCGAAUGUGCCCUUCGGGGGAAAGAUUUAUCGCCAAAGGAUCGGCCCGCGUCAGAUUAGCUAGUUGGUGGGGUAAUGGCCUACCAAGGCGACGAUCUGUAGCUGGUCUGAGAGGAUGAUCAGCCACACUGGGACUGAGACACGGCCCAGACUCCUACGGGAGGCAGCAGUGGGGAAUCUUGGACAAUGGGCGCAAGCCUGAUCCAGCCAUGCCGCGUGAAUGAUGAAGGCCUUAGGGUUGUAAAAAUUCUUUCGUCGGGGACGAUAAUGACGGUACCCGAAGAAGAAGCUCCGGCUAACUUCGUGCCAGCAGCCGCGGUAAU